UACGUAGGGCGCAAGCGUUAUCCGGAAUUAUUGGGCGUAAAGAGCUCGUAGGCGGUUUGUCGCGUCUGCUGUGAAAGACCGGGGCUCAACUCCGGGCCUGCAGCCGAUACGGGCAGACUAGAGUUCGGCAGGGGAGACUGGAAUUCCUGGUGUAGCGGUGAAAUGCGCAGAUAUCAGGAGGAACACCGGUGGCGAAGGCGGGUCUCUGGGCCGAUACUGACGCUGAGGAGCGAAAGCGUGGGGAGCGAACAGG
rnacentral:rRNA from 1 species